UACGGAGGGGGCAAGCGUUAUUCGGAUUCACUGGGUUUAAAGGGUCCGUAGGCGGGUCGAUAAGUCAGUGGUGAAAGCCCGGAGCUCAACUUCGGAAUUGCCAUUGAUACUGUAGGUCUUGAGUAUUGUAGAGGUGAGUGGAAUACCUCAUGUAGAGGUGAAAUUCGUAGAUAAUAGAAAGAACACCAAUGGCGGAGGCGGCUCACUGCGCAAAUACUGACGAUGAGGUGCGAAAGCGUGGGGAGCAAACAGG
rnacentral:rRNA from 1 species